UACAGAGGGUGCAAGCGUUAAUCGGAAUUACUGGGCGUAAAGCGAGCGUAGUCGGUUAUUUAAGUCGGAUGUGAAAUCCCCGGGCUCAACCUGGGAAUUGCAUUCGAUACUGGAUAGCUAGAGUUCGGCAGAGGGAAGCGGGAAUUUCGGGUGUAGCGGGUGAAAUGCGUAGAUAUCCGAAGGAACAUCAGUGGCGAAAGCGGCUUCCUGGACCAGAACUGACGUCAGGCUCGAAAGCGUGGGGAG
rnacentral:rRNA from 1 species